rnacentral:rRNA from 1 species
GAUGAACGCUGGCGGCGUGCCUAAUACAUGCAAGUCGAGCGAACAGACGAGGAGCUUGCUCCUCUGACGUUAGCGGCGGACGGGUGAGUAACACGUGGAUAACCUACCUAUAAGACUGGGAUAACUUAGGGAAACCGGAGCUAAUACCGGAUAAUAUAUUGAACCGCAUGGUUCAAUAGUGAAAGACGGUUUUGCUGUCACUUAUAGAUGGAUCCGCGCCGCAUUAGCUAGUUGGUAAGGUAACGGCUUACCAAGGCAACGAUGCGUAGCCGACCUGAGAGGGUGAUAGGCCACACUGGAACUGAGACACGGUCCAGACUCCUACGGGAGGCAGCAGUAGGGAAUCUUCCGCAAUGGGCGAAAGCUUGACGGAGCAACGCCGCGUGAGUGAUGAAGGUCUUCGGAUCGUAAAACUCUGUUAUUAGGGAAGAACAAAUGUGUAAGUAACUAUGCACGUCUUGACGGUACCUAAUCAGAAAGCCACGGCUAACUACGUG